rnacentral:misc_RNA from 1 species
CACACCGCGGAGUGAGGAUUUCGGGCGAUUUGUGAAUCGGACGUCUCCGUGCGCGAAAAGGUUGCAGGCCAAUGGUUGUCGCGUGUGCGUCGGUCGCGCAUGCGUGUCGAGGUCGGUGGGGGCACCCGCCAUGUCGUGCCCACGCACGCAGCCCGCACGCGAAAGGCCGUAGGAGGCAGGAGGGAGCCGCCGUUUCGUUUCUCCUGGAUGGACAACUCUGCUUACGUGCCGAAUCAUCUCACACCACCUUCUCUGGUCGUUUUUUCACAAGGCGGGGGCCUCCCAGAGGCUCCGAGAAUGCAAAGACCCUUCAACCCACAAUGGGGUUCGUUUUUCGAAUCUAAGGUUUCAGAUUCCAAAGAUCUUCAAGUGCCGUUCAGCACCGCGGCGUCCUUGGGUUACGGUCUGCAUCACAUGCUUCAUUUCCCGGCGCAGUUUCUCCACCCUUUGGACCCAAGGUCACCUUUCGGGGCCUUCCGGCCCCUCGGCCCGUCGGCAUUCGCGCCCCCCAGCAAAUGUCUGAAAGUUGAAACUGGGAACACGACCGUGUCAUCGGGAUUGGCGUCGAUAGGCUCGCUCUCCAGUAUGUCGAACAUGUUCUCACCGACGCUGCCGUCGAGCGGCGUCGCCGGCGGUGCCGGCGGAGUCUCGACGGCCGGGGUCGGCGAAGUCGCCCCCCAAAGUCCAGCCGGGUCUGCGAGCCGAUCCCCGCCGGGAAGCGGAAUCGGAGUCGGGCAGGGUCAAAACCGGGGCGCGACGCCCGACGACGAGGACAGGGACGCCAACGCGACACCCGGCUCCGAGAACACCGAGAGGUCGACCCCGGAGGAAGGCAGACCCUACAGACUGGGGCCCGUGUUCGGGGGUCGCUGCGGUGCGGAGGCCCUUGGAUUAGGUUUUGGAUUAUCACUCGGCCCAACCUACAGGUUCGCUCUUCCUCCGGGACUUGCUGCCAAGACCACUAGAUGCCUUGUUUUCGAUCAAGGUAAAAAGAAAUUCCCUUCCGACCCCUCAUGUUGUCCAGUAUGCGGUGUGACUGUUCGUCCCCAGGAACUUGAGCAACAUUUUGCUCAGGAACUCGACCGAUUGUACAAGGUAUCAUCGACGACACCUCGGCCAAGAUCAUCGCGAUCUUCGGGACCCCCGGGACAUCCUCAGGACCACCCUCACGCGCCGCUUCUCCACGCACCAUCGGCGGCUGACGGAACGCUCCAAGGACGAUGGGAAACUUACAAACGAAUCAAAGCCAAUAGACAAGCGAGAAUUCGUGUCAAAAAUCGAAAAAGAAAAGCUGAUGAACCGUCGUGCCCUGUGUGUAGUGAAAGAUUGUCUGGAAGUCCCGAGGAGUUGAAUCAGCAUGUUGAACGUUGCUUGAACAAACACAAUGGCAACCCUGCGGGACAAAAUCCUGGAAUCGACGACGAAGAGGUUGACGUCGAGGGAGAUCCUGAAACAUUUGAGGAAUACGAGUGGGCGGGACAACGGCGAGUUCGCGCAACCUCAAUGCUAGUUGGCGGAUUCUCGGCUGCAGGCCUGGCAACAUCGUCAAGUAAUCGAAGUAUCGCCGGCGCGCUUGGCGGUCAGCAGGAAGACGAGGAUAUAGACUUAGUAGUGGACGGUGACGAUGCUGCACAAUUUGGUCCGGCACAAUACUCGGAGGCGGAUGUCGUCGCGCCUCGUGCCGAAGGCACUCCGAGGGAACAAAAAGAGCGCGACGCACUCCGAGAGGCGGUAAUAUCGCCGCAUGCACCACACACACCCCACACUCCUCCGGAACAGCCUCAUGGUGCUCAGGUUGAGGUGAAGCCGGAACCAGGAUCCAUCCUUCCCUCAGGGCAACAUAAUCGCGAGAGCGACGAAAUCGACGCGGCGUCAAACGCCGUUUGCAGGGAUUCCGACGCCCCGGUUGUCGAAGCGUUGCGCGGAAGGAUCCGAGAUCUCGAAGCUGAAAUGCGAGUCCAACCGUUCAAGUGUCUCAUAUGCAUGGAACAAUACAAGAAACCGGUAACCUCCGUUUGCUGCUGGCACGUACACUGUGAACAAUGUUGGCUUCACACUCUGGGGGCGAAAAAAUUAUGCCCGCAGUGCAACAUGAUCACAUCGCCGGCAGACUUGAGACGCAUUUACAUGUGAGGCUGCCAACCAUCCACGUCGCGUAACUUUUCCAACCGUUCACGGUUUUCAAAAGUUCACUUGCAGACCUUGACCAAUCAUUUGUUGAUACGGUCUGACCAACGGUCCAAACGGACGCGGCAAUCCAAAUCUAAAUCUCUAUUAACCCAGUGCACACUUGUAUAUUUGUAUAUUACCUUAAAUUAAAGAUUCAUAAUAAUAAGAAGAAAAUUUGAAAAAUAACACGUCAUGCAUUUAUAGUAAUAUAGUAGGUGAAUUAAUAUCUGGACUGUAUCUUCCAAGUAUAUAUUACAUAAUUAAUUAAUUGAAAAUCGCCAUCAUGAAUACAGGUUUAAAACAUCGAUACCACAAACUGCAAACGCCUCUGUAUACAUAUUUACAAAGUCUACUCAAUCAUCAACCCACAAGGUUCUCGUGAUUCGUAAGAGUCAUUGUCGAUGGAAGAGUUCAAAGAGAUCAGGGACACUUGCAAGCAAUGUACUUGGAUGUUUUAUGCUACUUCUUGCAAGCGUCUGACCCUAUAGAUAAUUCAUUUAGUACUUCAGUCCAGAGGUGCUGAAAUAGUUUUGACAACUCUCAUCCGAACGUAAUUCGAACACGAUAUUCUGUUGAUUCAUUGCAAAGUAUAGAAAACGACCCCCGAAUUUCCUAAUCUACCGCUUAGUAAAUAUCAUCCUUUACCAGACAGUUUCUAAUCUUUUCUUCUAUGGAUGUUUAAAAUUAAAAAAAAAAAAAAAGAUCACUACCGCGAGUAUUACGAAUCAUAUCAUCGAAUGCCUGGUGCGUCUUUGAUCGAUCAAUACUUGAGGCUUUUCGAAUCUCUCUUCGCGAGGCGGUCGACGGAUACGGGUAGCUGCAACUUAAGGGGGUGCCCUGGUCGAUUUCGACGUUGACGUGCCUAUAUAUCUCCGAAUAUCCAAGUCCACGUAUCGAAAACUUGGAUAGCGGCUCCACAGUGCGAUCCUCUAUACAAUUUUGAACUAAAACACCCCAAUGCAUUUCCAUUUAACGCAGAAAUGUAUUAGUGUUUUUGUUCAGAAUUUUGUAUAUAAUCGCACUGUGAAGCCUUUUUCCCCUUUUGCGAUACGUGGACUUACACGUUCCGAGAUAUAUACGUUAACGUCGAAAUCGACCAGGGUACACCCUUAAAUACCGCGUGAACGGAGAUGGAAUGCCAAAUAAUUUUCUAUGUGAUAGGUUUGUACACGAACGAACGUAUUCAGAUAAAGUUGAGCAAAUCGAUAUACGAAUAACGUGGAAGAACUAAGAAAACUGAAGUAUAAGUGUAAAUUAAAGCGAAUAUAAACACGAAAUAAAAAGUUUCUUGCAGAAAACGUGAACAACAAUUCUGUACUCAAUAAAACGAUCAUGGAAUAUGUA